rnacentral:rRNA from 1 species
ACGCUGGCGGCGUGCCUAAUACAUGCUAGUAGAACGCUGAAGAGAGGAGCUUGCUCUUCUCGGAUGAGUUGCGAACGGGUGAGUAACGCGUAGGUAACCUGCCUUGUAGCGGGGGAUAACUAUUGGAAACGAUAGCUAAUACCGCGUAACAAUGGAUGACACAUGUCAUUUAUUUGAAAGGGGCAAUUGCUCCACUACAAGAUGGACCUGCGUUGUAUUAGCUAGUAGGUGAGGUAACGGCUCACCUAGGCGACGAUACAUAGCCGACCUGAGAGGGUGAUCGGCCACACUGGGACUGAGACACGGCCCAGACUCCUACGGGAGGCAGCAGUAGGGAAUCUUCGGCAAUGGGGGCAACCCUGACCGAGCAACGCCGCGUGAGUGAAGAAGGUUUUCGGAUCGUAAAGCUCUGUUGUAAGUCAAGAACGAGUGUGAGAGUGGAAAGUUCACACUGUGACGGUAGCUUACCAGAAAGGGACGGCUAACUACGUGCCAGCAGCCGCGGUAAUACGUAGGUCCCGAGCGUUGUCCGGAUUUAUUGGGCGUAAAGCGAGCGCAGGCGGUUUGAUAAGUCUGAAGUUAAAGGCUGUGGCUCAACCAUAGUUCGCUUUGGAAACUGUCAAACUUGAGUGCAGAAGGGGAGAGUGGAAUUCCAUGUGUAGCGGCGAAAUGCGUAGAUAUAUGGAGGAACACCGGUGGCGAAAGCGGCUCUCUGGUCUGUAACUGACGCUGAGGCUCGAAAGCGUGGGGAGCGAACAGGAUUAGAUACCCUGGUAGUCCACGCCGUAAACGAUGAGUGCUAGGUGUUGGAUCCUUUCCGGGAUUCAGUGCCGCAGCUAACGCAUUAAGCACUCCGCCUGGGGAGUACGACCGCAAGGUUGAAACUCAAAGGAAUUGACGGGGGCCCGCACAAGCGGUGGAGCAU